UAACAGAAACUGCCGGUUAGGGCCAGUUACCUGUCAAUCAUCUGUAAGUGGUUGCCUGAAUAGAUGCUGAUUGAGCAAAAAGCUGAAUUAGCAGUUGUAACUUGAGUGUGAGUCAUCAGCUCUAUAUAAGAAAAUCGCAUUUUUAUAGCACAAAGUGUUCACAGAACUGAAUGCAGAAUUAACAAAGUGCUAACGCUGGGAAGUUUUUUAUACAGGGGAAAGAAGAUGUUGGCUUUUUUUUACCUACAGUAGCUGACCCACAAUAUCCACUGCUGGAUGCAGGAAGAAUGGGUGGAAACCUGCUGCAAAUUACUGCAGUGAGGACUUUGAGGGAAAAGAACUGGAACUGAAGACUUUAUUGCAAGAGGAAUGGAAUUCAAAGUUUCUUGCUUGUGUAUGCUCCAUCUGAAUGAGACUCGCUAGCUACAUAAAGAAAUGUUGCACUGAGAAGGAUGAAUAUCGUAGUAACAUCAGAACUGAUAACAGUUAAUCCUUUGAGCAAUGCUGAGAUUUUUGGCACAACUGGUCAACAAUAUAUAGCAGACCAAAAGUAUGUACGACAUCUGCCCAGCAGCACAAACUCCAGUAGUUCUGAGAUGAUGGCUGUGAGCCUUCUGAAGAUGUAUUGGCAAUGUUUUUCCCUUUACCCUGCACCAACACAGAGACUGGUCACUGUGGAGGAUACUCUAGCUAGAUUAGAGACAGGGAUGCAAUGUGGAAGAUUAUAAUUUUUAGUUGAGACAUUUGUCAA